rnacentral:rRNA from 1 species
CUGUCCCAUGUUGCCAGCGAGUUAUGUCGGGGACUCAUGGGAGACUGCCGGUGACAAAUCGGAGGAAGGUGGGGAUGAUGUCAAGUCAUCAUGCCCCUUAUGUCCUGGGCUACACACGUGCUACAUUGGCCGGUACAAAGGGCUGCAAACCCGUGAGGGGGAGCGAAUCCCAAAAAACCGGUCCCGGUUCGGAUUGGAGGCUGAAACUCGCCUCCAUGAAGGCGGAGUUGCUAGUAAUCGUGGAUCAGCAACGCCACGGUGAAUACGUUCUCGGGCCUU